GGUGGCUGGCGAGGAGGACAAGCAGCAGGGAGAAGGAGAAGGGUGACAGCUCGCACACCGUCCUCCUCCCCGCGGCGGUUGGCUGGUUGACUCGUCGCGCCAGCGCGUCCUCACCUCCUUAGCGCCAUGAGAGGCGCCGCCUCUGCCUCUGGAAGAAGCAGCAGGGAUUGGUGGAGCAUCGAAUGCGGCCGAGGUCAACGGUUGAGGGAGGGUCGCCCACCGGAGCAGCAGGAGAAAGACCUUGAGUGAAGCUGCAUCAUCCAACACAGCGAGAUGAAGUACUCAGAAUAAAUCGCAGCAAGUGCGAUUGAUACUCAGGGAAUUGAUCUGAUUCUGAAUCUUCCCUUCUUCCUGUACUUAUUUCACACUCUCUCUGAUUGGUCAAUGUGCUAUGCAAAGCUGUUUGAUAUAUGGAUUAAAUUUGCUUUUGUACAUGUCUGCAUCGUACUUAAUGUUAUUCCCUUCUGAAUUAGCAAGAUUUAGACGAUAAUUCACAACAAUGUCAAUGUUAGGUUUGAUUCACUACCAGUGCUCUUUAGUUUACAAAGGGUUUUUAAUUCAGCAUUCAACUCCGCCUUCGUCAGUAUAAAAAAUUCAUAAAGAGAUUUGGUCUCUUCUUUAUUAUCUGGGUGCAUUAUGUAUUAUGCAUGGCACUAACUGUGAGUAUUUUUGCCAGUCAGUAUGCAUUGGUCUACUUUGAAUCUUUUUUGUCUUACUUUAUACUUGUUUUGCUACACAUGAUUUGGAUUGAUCUACUUAGAAGCAUGAGUUUAUGAAAAUUAAUAUACUAGGAUUGCUCUGCUCCUGUUGACAUGCGAUGGCAAUUGUGACAUGACAGAGUUGUCUGAAGUGGAAUGGAUUGUCGUCACCUUUGACUAAGCUGUCGAGCCCAAGAAAUGUGGCAGACUGGUGGCCCAACUGUUCAACUUCUCAACACCGUUUAAUUAUGUCUUUGGCUGUCCUUGCGUCCACUCAGCAGAGAAGUAUCUAUACUGACCUUCUGCUCUAGAUAACUUAUACUCAUAUAAUUUAUCUCUAAUACCCAGUCCAAAACAUUAGUUUCAAAAUGUAACUCUUUGCGGCCCUAAUUUGACAAUACUUUGAGUGCUUUCUAUAGGAACAGGAGUGAGCAAAGACGAAGUCACCUGAGACGGGAAAAAACAGAAGUAUAUGUUAAUAACCAGAUUUUCAACUUUUGUUGACCUUUUAUUUUAACUGAAUGAUAUUUUCUAGCAUUUGAGCUACCAAUCAUAAAUAUUAAGUCGGUUAUCCGUAAGACGCCACAUGUUCUUAGCUGCUAUAUUUUAUACCUGAAAUUAUUUUCUAAGUCCACAUAACGUAGGCAGAAGUCAUGAAAAUUAUGAAAGCCUUUUUGAAAAAAAUGAAAAUUACAGAAAGGAUCUUGGAAAAAAGAAUUACUUGUGAACAAUCAUUUUGACUGAUGAGCUGAUCUCUGCCUAAUGAAUCCACUGAGAGAUUGGUGAGCUUUUCUGCUGCAUGAGAAAGAGCCACAGAUGGCCGACUAAUACCCAUUAUAGCAGAAUUCUGCAUAUGAUGUGCAUACACAAGGUGCCGCUGGGUGAUACGGCAGUUCUCUGAACAUAGAAUACUAGAUUAAAGCACUCACAGUAUUUCUUCAGGCACUCAGAUCUCUUGCAGUGGCACCCCUUUGUAUGCUUACCCAUAGGAGGGCCUUCUGCCAGUUUGCAUGAUAAAAAUACAAGUGAUUGUUUGAAAAUAUACAUUGUGCUCUACCUCGCCGUUCUGGGCUGCAUGUGGAGGGAUAUUCCCAAUUUUGGGCAUAAAGGCCACAGGGUUUCUUUCAAGGCACUAGGCAAUCACGAAUAGCUCAUAUAUUCAGGGUAUGCGCCCCUUGUGCUAUAUUUAUAGCAGGUUGUACUCGGCAUAUAUUGUGAGAUUUGAUCUGGUAGAGAAGAAGGACCGAGAUAGUCUGGUCUUACCUACAUAUAUGAGUCGUUAUUGAGGACUGAGCAUCGAGCGUGAUUCCGUUUCCAGUCCAUGUAGAUUAGGCAUUGGACGACUUAGCUAGAAACUUUAUAGGUUUUUAGUAUAUAUAUCUUCAGUUAUGUUGUCAUGAUUUGCUUUUUCUGAACCUUGAUAAUACUAUCCUGGAUUUGUGACAACAGUCUACAGAUUUUUCCCUUUAUUUUUUAUCAUUGUGAAGAACAAAUCUACAAAAUUCAACCAGUUGUGAACUCAUCAAGUACGGGACCUCUGUCUAAUAUCAUUUCUGCAGGUCGAACCUGAAAGGAUGCCAGCCAAUUGCUUUUCCAAAACUGAUGUUUCAUGUCUUGAAACUUUCCCCAUUUUUCUUUUCAGAGGACAAAGGACAUCCGGAUUAGUUAGCUUCUUUUUACAGUUCCUAUCCAUUGAACUAUAUGCAGUUUUCAACUAGACCUUGUUUUACAGUGCCUAUCCAUUGAACUAUAUGCAGUGUCAACAAACAUUGUGAGAUGCGAUGGCUGCAAUGGUGGGGCCAAACAAUCCUACGGCAGCAGCAAUAGUUAUCCCACGAUAAAUCUCUGUUAAGUGCUCCUUUCUCUUUACCUCUUUACUCCCGUGUCUCUGAUUUUGAUGUCAUAGCCUAUGUUCUUAGCUAGACACCGUGUUUGCGGAUUUCAUAAAGAAGGGCAGAUGAAGAAGCUAUCAGAAGAUUUUGUUGAACGAAACUUGCAUUCUGAUGUUACGAGUGUAGAAAUAUAUUCUGCAUUUUUAGGAAAUUAGAUAAUAGGACCUGCUAAAGGAGAACUUUGGUUAAGCUAUUUCUUUAUUUGUUUGUGCAACCAACCUUAUUUGGUCCUGGUUGGAAGAUAAUACGACCGGCUAAAGGAGAUCUUUGGUAAAAUAUGUCAUUAUUGCAACCAUGCUUAUUUGGUUUUGACGAGCUAAAGUAUUGAAGUAUAUGCAGUGUCAACAAACAGCGUGAGAUGAUAUAGAUGCAAUGGUGUGGGGCCAAACAAUCCUACGGCAGCAUCAAUAGUCAGCCCACAACAAAUCUCUGUUAAGUGCUCCUUUCUCUUUACCUCUUUACUCCCGUGUCUCUGAUUUUGAUUUCAUAAUCUAUGUUUUUAGCUAGACACCGUGUUUGCGGAUUUCAUGAAGAAGGGUAGAUGAAGAAGCUAUCAGAAGAUUUUGUUGAACGAAACUUGCAUUUUGAUGUUACGAGUGUAGAAAUAUAUUCUGCAUUUUUAGGAAAUUAGAUAAUAGGACCUGCUAAAGGAGAACUUUGGUCAAGCUAUUUCUUUAUUUGUUUGUGCAACCAACCUUAUUUGGUUCUGAUUGGAAGAUAAUACGACCGGCUGUACACACUUCUAUUGAGUAAAGCUCAUUGUUAAGUUCAGAUAUAA